GAUGAAGAACGUAGCGAAAUGUGAUAAGUAAUGUGAAUUGCAGAAUUCAGUGAAUCAUCGAAUCUUUGAACGCACAUUGCGCCCGCCAGUAUUCUGGCGGGCAUGCCUGUCUGAGCGUCAUUUCAACCCUCAUGCCCCUAGGGCGUGGUGUUGGGGAUCGGCCAAAGCCCGCGAGGGACGGCCGGCCCCUAAAUCUAGUGGCGGACCCGUCGUGGCCUCCUCUGCGAAGUAGUGAUAUUCCGCAUCGGAGAGCGAUGAGCCCCUGCCGUUAAACCCCCAACUUUCCAAGGUUGACCUCAGAUCAGGUAGGAAUACCCGCUGAACUUAAGCAUAUCAAUAAGCGGAGGA
rnacentral:misc_RNA from 1 species